UCUUCAUUCCCCUCACUAUCUCACCGGUCAGAGAGACGAGAGAUUGUGUGAAAUGAAGAGA
rnacentral:pre_miRNA from 1 species